CCUACGGGUGGCAGCAGUGAGGAAUAUUGGUCAAUGGGCGUAAGCCUGAACCAGCCAAGUCGCGUGAGGGAAGAAGGUUCUUAGGAUCGUAAACCUCUUUUAUCAGGGAACAAAGGCCGGGUCGCGUCCCGGUAUGAAUGUACCCUAUGAAAAAGCAUCGGCUAACUCCGUGCCAGCAGCCGCGGUAAUACGGAGGAUCCGAGCGUUAUCCGGAUUUAUUGGGUUUAAAGGGUGCGGAGGCGGGCUGUUAAGUCAGCGGUGAAAGUGUGGGGCUCAACCCUAGGAUGGCCGUUGAAAGUGGGAGGCUAGAGUAGGAGAGAGGCAGGCGGAAUGCGUGGUGUAGCGGUGAAAUGCUUAGAUAUCACGAAGAACCCCGAUUGCGAAGGCAGCCUGCC
rnacentral:rRNA from 1 species